UACGGAGGGGGCUAGCGUUGUUCGGAAUUACUGGGCGUAAAGCGCACGUAGGCGGCUUUGCAAGUUAGAGGUGAAAGCCCGGAGCUCAACUCCGGAAUUGCCUUUAAAACUGCAUCGCUAGAAUUGUGGAGAGGUGAGUGGAAUUCCGAGUGUAGAGGUGAAAUUCGUAGAUAUUCGGAAGAACACCAGUGGCGAAGGCGACUCACUGGACACAUAUUGACGCUGAGGUGCGAAAGCGUGGGGAGCAAACAGGAUUAGAAACCCUAGUAGUCC
rnacentral:rRNA from 1 species